AUUGAACGCUGGCGGCAGGCCUAACACAUGCAAGUCGAACGAGUGGCGGACGGGUGAGUAAUGUAUGGGAAACUGCCUGAUGGAGGGGGAUAACUACUGGAAACGGUAGCUAAUACCGCAUACCAUCGGAUGUGCCCAGAUGGGAUUAGCUAGUAGGUGGGGUAAAGGCUCACCUAGGCGACGAUCCCUAGCUGGUCUGAGAGGAUGACCAGCCAAACUGGAACUGAGACACGGUCCAGACUCCUACGGGAGGCAGAAGUGGGGAAUAUUGCACAAUGGGCGUAAGCCUGAUGCAGCCAUGCCCCGUGUAUGAAGAAGGCCUUCGGGUUGGAAGCUACAGUUAGGUGUGAGGCGGUACCCGCACAGCAAGCCCCGGCUAACUCCGUCCCAGCAGCCGCGGUAAUAC
rnacentral:rRNA from 1 species